rnacentral:rRNA from 1 species
UACGGGGGGGGCAAGCGUUGUUCGGAAUUACUGGGCGUAAAGCGCACGUAGGCGGAUUGUUAAGUCAGGGGUGAAAUCCUGGAGCUCAACUCCAGAACUGCCUUUGAUACUGGCGAUCUCGAGUCCGGGAGAGGUGAGUGGAACUGCGAGUGUAGAGGUGAAAUUCGUAGAUAUUCGCAAGAACACCAGUGGCGAAGGCGGCUCACUGGCCCGGUACUGACGCUGAGGUGCGAAAGCGUGGGGAGCGAACAGG